rnacentral:lncRNA from 10 species
GAGAUAAAUUACCUCCCCAGUAAACAGCAUUCUGUGUAGAGAUCCUUGACUGAGUUUUACACUAGCAUAUGUGACCUAUCAAGACAUUCAUAGCAUUCAGGCCUUCCAUGAACAGAUCGUCAUUGCAGUUAAAGCUCCAGCAGAAACCAGAUUGGAUGUUCCAGCUCCCAGAGAAGUAGGACUCUAUCACAGUGCACAUAAGGAGCACCAACGGACCUAUCGAUGUCUAUUUGUGUGAAGUGGAGCAGGGUCAGACCAGUAACAAAAGGUCUGAAGGUGUCGGGACCUCUUCAUCUGAGAGCACUCAUCCAGAAGGCCCUGAGGAAGAAGAAAAUCCUCAGCAAAGUGAAGAAUUGCUUGAAGUAAGCAACUGAUGGCAUUUGAGAAUUUAUGUAUCACUGAGUUUUUUGGGAAUAUCUUCGUGGAGAAUUACGCAUCAAAUUUGAUUCUCAGAGCAAUAAAUUAUCCAUGAAGUGCUCUCGUUCUCAGUAGCGGCAUCAUGGCCAGUAGUGUCUUUGAGGAGUUCACCACUUAGAUUACUGAGUAAUUGUGGUUUCCACAUUUGAAAACAACUCCUUUUAUAAUUAUUCACUGCUUUUUGUCAGUGAAAUAGACAUCUUGCCUCCUGAAGUAGCUUCAUCACAGAGUGUCAUGAAGACAGACAGUCAGGCUGAAAUGGACAGUUCUUUGUGGACUCUACCCUUCCCUUCAAGGAGUAUGUCAUAUAUCACAAAAGAAAUUGCCUUACACUGGUUCAUGUUUGCAGUUACUGUUGUACAUUGCAUAGAUGUACACACGAAUUUAAAUGUGAUGUCUUUGUAUAUAUCUGUAUAAUGUUGAGAUUACUUACGAAAUAUGUCUGAGUGACACUUUUCACCCUUGUACAGCCAAAAUAAUGUAUAUAUGGAAAGUGACAGACAAAUUCUCUAAUCUCUUUGGUACCUAUAACUUAUUAGAAUCCUCUGGAUGAGGGUUAGAAGAGACUUUUUCCAAACUUCUACAUGUAGAAGUAUCAUAAAUGUGCUACACAUUUAUGUUUGUGGAUUUAAUUAAAGUAUUUUAAUAUGGUUUUCAGUGCUAAAAUUGGAGUCAGAUACUUCUUGGUUUUAAGCUGUCUACCUAAUUGCUGUCUCCCAGCAGACUGGUGGCAUGCCCAGUGGCUUUGGGGGCAAGGAUAGAAAUGCCAUCAGGAAAUAGCUGAAUUCAUUGUGAAACAUGAAUUCAGUCAUGGUGAUAAUUGGAAACUCCUUUCAGGUUUUUGCAAGUAGAUUUUGUAAUGUUUGUGUAUGCAGCCUUGCUGUUGAGUCAGUCCAAGGGGUUUUACUUAGGACAAGUUGUACCUUGCCCUCUCUCCAGCUCUGCUCCCACAUUUUCACAUACCUAGCUGUUUCUACCUCAUUGGGUAAGUCAUUUACCACUCUGUGCCUCAGUUUACUCUGUAGUUUACCAUUAGACUGUGAGCUCCUUGAGGGACUUUGUCAUAAUCACUGUUACAUCCCAGUGCCUCACACCAUGCCUGGCCCUUAAGAAGUGCUCAAUAAAUGUCUGAACAAAUAAGUGAGUGGAGUGAGUGAAUUGUAAGAUCAGAAUAAUAAUAUUUGGUUUGUCUAUCGUACAAGAUUCCUGUAUCGUUUGAAUAUUGCUUUUAAAGAAAUAUUUGAAGCGACUUCAAAUUCAGACUGUGUUUAAAAAGAUUUAAAAUCGGAAUCCAAAAUCAAAGUAUUAAAAAAUAAUGCUGAGUGUUUAGGAUUCACAUACCUCUGAGCUCUGGUGGCUUUUGCCAGUCCUGUCCCUCUGCUGAGCACCAGCCCUUCCUGCAGCAGUCCUGCCGGUGUGUUUCUGUGCACCUGGGGAUGAAGUGUGCUCCUCCCCCAGCGGUUAGCCUCAAUGCUUUUCCUCCCUCUGUUUUAUUAUUUGAAAUUAGCCAAAGAAAAGCUGCAGGGGGCACUGCUGAUCAUCACUGGACUGGUGGGUCGUACUGUUUGACAGAAUAGGGAAUACAGGAGGAGGAGCAAGCCUAGGGUAAAACUUAGGUUUGGGACAUGCUUGAUGAAAGCAAGAGUUGAGCAGGUUGUUGUGUGUAUGUAGGUCAGGUGCUCAGCGGAAAAGUCUGAGCUGUGUAGUACGUCAGGCAGAUGUCAGUUUAGAUGCGAUAGUUUAAGCCACAAGAGUAGGAGAGGUCAUCUAAAGAGUACAGCAGGCCUAAGGGCAUCUAUAUUUAAGGAGAAAUACAGAAGAAGUCUCCUGAGAAGGAAUAAUGGGGCGGGUGGGGAGGGAGAAGGCAGUGUCCCAAAAACCAACAAAGGUUUUACCAAAGGUAAUACCAUCAUUUCUGAGCAGCAGUUCCUUAACUUGUGAAUGUGGCAAAUGUUCUCCUUUACAAAUUGUUCUGAAGGUAAAAUGAGAU